GUGCGUUGUAGUGCGUUGUAGUGCGUUGUAGUGCGUUGUAGUGCGUUGUAGUGCGUUGUAGUGCGUUGUUCCUGUCGUGGAAAUUAGACAACACUCACAGACUCGUCCUCUGAAGGUUGUUUCGUCCUGAUGGCCUGCACUCCAGCAGCCUCGGAGCGGAACUGCUGUCUGACAACAUCUCCAAGACGCUACACACCAAGUGACUGUCUACCGUGUUGAGAGGAUAGUGUGGAGGAUACGUUUGGUCCGGAUCAGGAGGAUCCUUAGGCUCUUGCCAGAGUUUCUGUGCAUGUGCGUGCAGCCUAGAAGGAGGACAGGGUGAUGGCGGAAUGGCUAACCCUGGCAUAGGGCACGGCCAACAGGCUGCAGCUCCAGACCCGGAGGUGUUGGCAGCUCAGGAGCAGAGACGAGCGACUCUGAUCGCAAUCAUCCGUGAUCUAAGGCAGCAACUUCAGCACAUAGGGUUCAUUACGCACCGGUUUCACUGACUGCAUUUAACGUGCAGCCGAGAAGCUGACGGAAGGUGAGCUGCAUGAUGGCAGGCUGAUCGCCGAUCAGAAG
ensembl:lncRNA